rnacentral:lncRNA from 1 species
AUGGUAAAUUUGAGAGGAGGAUUCUUAUAUCUUUACAACAAGCUGAAGAUCUGUUUCAAAAUAGACCAAUCACCACAAGCAUUUAGCCCCACAUGGUCUAAAAAAGUUUGUAUGACUGGCAAGGUAGGAAACAUGUCACAUGCAGUAAGAAAUUUGAAAAAAUUGCUGAAAUAUUAGAAAACUACCGAUCGAAAUGAUGUAAAAUAUUAAUUACACAAAGUAAACAGCUAGUAUUUAAUUAUCAAUCACACUUGAAGCGCUAGGUACAGAAAGGACACUUCCCAGCUGCGGUGUCUCAGAAUCUCCACUGGAAUUUCAUUAAUUAUGACUUAUGAUUAUGAUGAAGACAUCUUUAUGUGCUUCUUUGAAACUUAUACUAUAUUCUUUAUGAUUUUACAAUGCUUUGGACGAAAAAGUUCAGAAAAUUCAUCAAAUAGUUUGCUCUCUAAAAUAUAAACUACAUAGCAGUGGAAAUUCUGGAACUCUGCAACUAAAAAGUACCUUUCUUGUACUUAGCACUUCCAUUCGCACAGGAGGUAAAUUAAUAAAAUUAAAACUGGUUCUCUUUCGAAUAUUUCUCAAGGUUUGGAAUUUUUUUUCGCUUGGGCCCCCCUCCCCAUACAUAUGACUUGUUUGAUAGAGAACUGAAAUCCUUUGACUGACAAAUUUCAUUCACGUUCAUGCGUGAAUUCACAAAUUGAACUGUUGCAAGCUCUUCAUCAAUACUUUGCUGCACCUCAAACGAAUCUUGUUUUUUAUUCAUUGGUAGUGUAAAACAAAAUUAUUAGAGUAAAGUUUUGUACAGUAAAAAUUAAGUCUGUAGAGGAGGUUUACAGAAAAAAAAGUGGCUACGAUAUUGAUAAUGAUUCAACUUAAUGUGAGAUAAACAAAAUUUCCUGAAUUGCCAAUUUUCUGUGAAUUACUUGCUUUCUCAUUCUCUUUAGGAUCUUGUUGCUUGACUUAGAUUGGUUGAGAUAUUAAUCAAAUAUCCAUAUUACUCAACACUUUACAGUUCAUGAAGUAAAUGAUUUUAUACUGCAAAAUUUGUUGAAUUUUUCUUGUGCAUAAGCACACAAUCAGCCAAUACACAAGCAGCGGCCUGAAUAUUGAAACUAUGUUGGCAAGACAAGACAAGACAUGACAUAGCCCUGUCUUAACCAUGUAAUUAAUCCCAUUGCGAUGUCGUAUAUGGCUGCUUUAAACUUUCAAUAAUCUGCCUACUGACAAAUCUGCAAUUCAAUAAUUGAGUAUUUGUCAUGGAGUCAUGCCUAAAAUCCUACUUUGAAAAAAAAAAGUUACAAGCAAUACUAGGAUGUCCGUUGGAAUCUUAUUAAAUCGCAACUUUCCCUCCAGUUGCCUUAAGCUGUUGUAUUCUCUGAUUCUGGAGUGAGGUGUAAUUUUUGGUCCAGUUUCUGCUUCUUCUUGCGGCCUUUCAAGGUCUUGAUUUGUUUCUUCUUCAGAGCAGUCACCUCUUUUGUUACCGCUUCUCAGGAACCUUUUUUCUUCCUACCUGGUUUCUUCUUUUUGUCUCCUUUCUGAGAUUUCAAAAUUGAACACACGGGGCAGAACCAUUUGGUAGAGUCGGGGGCAACUUUGAGGCCAAGACAAGACCUGCGAGAGGAAAAUUCAGAUUAAUUUCAUUGAAGGAUAGAAACCUGAGAAAUUAGACUGGCACUAAAAUUUUUUAUAAAACUUUUUUAAAAAACUCACGCUUUCACUAAAUUGUUACAAACAAACAUUUAGCA